rnacentral:lncRNA from 1 species
GUAAUAGACUGUCCACUAACAUAAGCAUCCUGCUUCAGACUAAUCAAGUAAGGCACAAUAGGUUUCAAACGAUCGAUCAAGAUUCUGACACAUACUUUAUAGAGGGUGGUAUAGAUACUGAUCGAUCUGAAUUGACAUAGGAUCGAUACAUCAAGCUGCUUCGAGAAAAGAGGGACCAAUAUCUUCUUCCACUCUAUUGAUAUGCCUC